GACGAACGCUGGCGGCGUGCUUAACACAUGCAAGUCGAGCGGUAAGGCUCCUUCGGGAGUACACGAGCGGCGAACGGGUGAGUAACACGUGAGUAAUCUGCCCCUCACUUCGGGAUAAGCCUCGGAAACGAGGUCUAAUACCGGAUACGACCACUUCUCGCAUGAGAUGGUGGUGGAAAGUUUUUCGGUGGGGGAUGUGCUCGCGGCCUAUCAGCUUGUUGGUGGGGUAAUGGCCUACCAAGGCUUCGACGGGUAGCCGGCCUGAGAGGGUGACCGGCCACACUGGGACUGAGACACGGCCCAGACUCCUACGGGAGGCAGCAGUGGGGAAUAUUGGACAAUGGGCGGAAGCCUGAUCCAGCAACGCCGCGUGAGGGAUGACGGCCUUCGGGUUGUAAACCUCUUUCAGUACCGACGAAGCGAAAGUGACGGUAGGUACAGAAGAAGCACCGGCCAACUACGUGCCAGCAGCCGCCGCAGUAA
rnacentral:rRNA from 1 species